GGCAAUUUAUAUAAAUUACUAAUUUGUAAAAUAAUUUAAAGUCAGUUAUUGAGAUAACAAAAAUUAUAGCCAACUUUAUACCUUCCCAUUUUUCCUCAUAUUUUUUAAUACAUACCAGAAAACAAAGACGUAUCACAGUGUAGUCAAUCACCUAUGAAUUAUCUACUCAUGGAUUGUUAUUAGAAGAUUCAGACUGAUAAUAGAUAUUUGAAUGCUUAUUGUGUAUACCAGGGGUUCUUUCUAUUAGGGCACACUUGUAAAUAAACCCAUUAGUGAAGUUGUAAGCUAGGCAUUGGUAGGAAUGUGAAAUCAUUAGAUGCAUUUUGAAAAUAACUUGGUCUGUCCUAAAAGGCCCUACUAGAUCCAAACUGUUGUGGACUGGUGCCUGGUAACUUUGAUGGCCAUUCUGAAAUAUUACCAUAGUGAUAAUUCUUUUGGAAUCUCAAGUCAUUAAAAGUGAUAUGGCCAUCUCUGGGCUGUGUGCUAUAAAAAUAGAUGUCAUGGGUUGUGUGAGUACUUUUUUCAACCUUAUAGUUUAUAACAACUGGAAGAAACAUUUUAGUUGAAUCCUGAAUACCUAUUAGAGGCUAGUUGCUUUGCUGUGUAAAUUGUCUGUCCAUGUAAUCAUUAACCAGUAAGAAUGAAUGGCAUUUUAAAAAUGAUUCAAUUUUUCCCUCAUUUGACUUCAGUUAUUUUGUCCCUUAUUUCUUUCUCCUAGUGAAUUUUUCCAAAGUUGGGUUAUGACAGAAGAUUAAUCAUCAUUGAUACUGCUCCCAAGGGUUUAUUGAGACUGUAUCUAGUGCUUCUCAGCUUUGUGGCUGGGUUUAAUGCAUCUUACUGUAGCUGUGGCACCUCUUCUGGGGAGAGCUGGGUACUGGCAUAGUUUAUAUCCAGUUUCCCUGAAUGUACUAUAGACAUGUUAGAGAACAGUGCACCCUUUCAGCUUGGUGCUGCCCCUCUUGCCUUACCCUCUCGCCUCUGAACCCGAGGGUAAUAAUUAAAAAUGUUUGUGUUAGUUCUUUUUCUAGUUAGAGACAUUCAAGUUAGAGACUUGUAAGUAGGGAUGGACUGGUUGGUCCCGGGUAUGAAGCAAACCAUUGGAAGUGUGCUUGGCAGUGACAGUUGACAGCAUGUUUGCUUGUGGCAGUGGUGUUGAUUCUAUUUGUCCAUGGGAGUUAUUUGCUUGGGGAAAGCCCAGCUUUACUUAGCCAACAGGGUAGUAUGGGACCAGUCAGAUUCCUUUCACAAGCCCAGUCCUCACCUCCAAGCUCUUGGUACUGCACAUGUAGCAUCUGUAUUUAGCAAAUGUUUGCUGCUUGCCGAUUCUGCCAAACAUCUAGUGAAUCCAAGGAGUAGACAGUGCGGUCCUUAGGGAUCCUCACUAGGUGGGAGAUUGAUACAUAAACCAACGACCCAGCUCUGUGGUGCCUGAAAGGAUGCAAAGGAGUUUGUCAGAUACCAGAGUUUGGAGGUGAUGGUGGUGGGGAUGGUUGAACAAAGGCAGUGUGUAGGACAAGUCGUUGUGGGCAAAUGGCUUGUACUAAUGAGGGUGAGAAUGCGGGCAGAAACCAGGUUGUGCCGGGCCUCAUCUGUCUUCCCUGAAGGUUGAACCUGACUGUAUAGGCAGUGACAAUGAAGCAGGGGAAUGCUGCAAGCGUAUAGUUCCAUAAAGUUCCCUGAUAGUAACCUGGGGAGGGAGAAAAGCUGGUAGGUGGAGGUGGAUGCCAUUGACAUGGAGAAUGAGCAUAGAAAGGAUGUCAAAUAGACUGGAGAUGGAUUUAGCAUGACUUGCUAAAGAGAUAAAGGUAAGGGAAUGCAGAGGACAUAGAAAAACCUAGUGGAUGAAUGAGGACCAGUUGGAAGAAAUUGAUCACCAAUGCCAUUAACUGAACUCAGAAAAAACAGAAGGUAGAGAUUUGUCAGGGGAGGGAUGGGGCAUUUUUGUCAUGUUGUCAUAUUGAGCUUGAGUUGUCUGUGACAUGAGUAGGAGGAGCUGGUCUUGGAAACACUGACCUGGAUAGAGAAGGAGAACCCUAGACAUCUGAUGUGGGAGUUAUCUUAGUGACGCCUCCAAAGGGUGCUGUGUUAGUUUUCUGUCAUUGUAGCAAAUGCCUGAGGCAAUCAACUUAUAACAAGCAAAGGCUUGUUUUGGCUCACAGUUUGGGAGGUGUCAAUCUGUGAUUGGAGGCCCCCAGUGCCUUGGACUUUGUUGGGGCAGCACAUCAUGGUGGAAGCGCAUGGUGAAGCAAAGCUGCUUACCUUGUGGCCAAGAAGUAUGAGAGAGUGAGAAGAAGGGUUGGGGUCCUACUGUGCCCUUCAAGGGCACACACCCAGUGAUUUGAAGACCUCCUGCUAGACCCCACCUCUUGAAGGUUCCACCACCUCCCAAUAGCACUAUGUUGGAGACCAAGCCUUUUAACAAAUGGACCUUUGGAGGACACUUAGUAUCUGAACUAUAGCAGGAGGUUGUGGGGAGUAGAAAGACGAGUCUUCUUAGGCAGUCCUCCUCCCCCUUUUUUGAUAGAGGUUUACCUUUCAAAUUACAUAUGUGUGUGACUGAAUUCCUGGCACAAGCUAUGAACAAAGGCUCCAGGGGACUUCCAUGGCAGGGAACCACCAUGUUGCAUCUAAGUCUGAAGGGAAGCUGGAUGUUUGGAAGGGCCCAGGUUCUUCCUGCCAGACUUCAAAGAAAGAUAAAGCAACCUCAAAGAAAGUUAUUAUUUUUUUAACCCUCAUGUAGAGAAGGUAGAGGGUCUCAGGUAGGGACCUCCCCCUUUGAGGAGCCUGCAUGUCCGUGGCUGUUCUCCCAAACCAGCAUUUGAAAGAAGCCUUCUAAAUUCUUAAGCUUUUUCUCGGAAGUAAUUUGAAAUGGAACUUCCUGAUAAGAUGAGAAGUGGUAAAUCCCGCAGUAAGGUUUUAAGAUCUUGAUGGAGCUCAGGACUGCUUGAUGCCACUUUGUGAAAUAGGUGUGAUAGGGACUUUGAACCAUCUACUAAAAGGUACCUUUGUUAGACAAAGCCCAGGGAUUUGUCUUGUUUACCCUUAAUCUUCUCUUCCUUUUCCUUUCUCACAAGUCUUUAUGUCUAGAUCAUUUAGUAUUUGAUCUACUAACAGGACCAUAACAGGGGCUGAUAUUACACACCCUGAAAGUCCUUUAUAAACAUACUGCAGUGGCAAUAGAGUGUUCUAAGCAGUAGGUAACAUUAGCCUGCCUCAUGGGACCCUCAGACGCUGUUACAAUUCAUAAUUCUUAGAUGUCAAAGAGCAGUGUAUAAAAUUCACAUAAACUGUACUACUAUUUCCAUGUAAAGUUUUGGUUGUGUUGUAGUUUAUUUGAAUUUAGUGUUCUUCAUAAUGGUACUUCCAUUUGAUGGAGGAUCACUCAGGCUUUGUGAUGGCACAGUACCAGGUAUUCUCAAUUAAUCAUUUUGCUUAGUAGUAUUAAUCUAUAGUCAUAGGACAUUACAAUUUUUGUUUCUACCUUUUAAAAAUUAUUAAAAUUAUUAGCCACAAACACAUCCUUUUAAACUUCAAAGUAGGUCAGCCUCAAUCAAGAGUCAGUAUUUCUCAUUAUACAUUUUUUUUCUUCAAAUGGAAACACAUGGAGAAAAAGUAACUUGUUUAUGUCCUUUGAUUGCACCCAGGACUGCACAGAAAGGAAGGCUUUACAGAGUUUGUAUUCAUGGAAGCUUCUUAAAGGUGAUACUAACUUUGCAGUAAAGUCAGUGACCCCAAACCCUUGUCACUUCAGGCUUGGUCAAAUGCUAACAGAGCAAUUUAAAUCUUAAACAGAGGUAUGAACUUGAUAAGUGAGUGUUUUGGAUUAAUUGGUGACUGCUAUUCUGAACAUUAAUUGCCCUUUGUAUUUGAAGGGUGAAAAUGCCAACUGUGAACCUUUGACAGCCUUGGUGUUUGGGGUAAACAAAUUGCAGUGGUGAUUUCUGAGUCAUGAUGACUUUGGGUGAAUCAUUAGAUCACUUUCUUCUUACUGCAAUUUGUGCUUCUUAAAAGUUUUUAUGUUGUUCUUAAUUAGGUAUUUCCCUUCAAGGCCAAGAAAAAUGUGUAGGGUAAAAUUUUUUAUAGCCUAUAUGUAAAAACUGUUCCUAAGGAAGGACUGUAUCAUUCUACUUCCAAUCUCCUACAUUAAAAAAAAAAAAGUAGGGGUAACUGUAACUUUUCUUUUCUCUGUUUCAUGGUAAUGUGUGGGACCCUGGAAGGUCCUGAUGGCAGUGCUGACUGGGUUGUAGCUAUUGUUCACCUUGGGUUCCAAAGUUUGGGGAGAAUGGAAGUAUUGUUCACAGAAAUGUACCCCUGCCUGUUCUCCUGCAGCCUGAUAGGAAGUGAACACCCUCAAUUUCAUCUACUCUCCAACCCUUCAAAUCAGCUCUAUUGAAAAUGUGUUGUAUGGAAUAUAUUCACUUUCAUUUCCUAGAGAAGGAAAACAAAUUUCACCUAGCUUAUGCAAAAAAGAAAAUUGUGGUCCCACUUAAUAGCAAAGUCUAGGAGUGGUACAUGCUUCAAGAGGGCCAUGGGGGCUUAUCUGCCUUACCUAUCUGAACAUUGGUGUCUUUCUUAGGAUCCAUGUGGGAGCAGAAGGGUUGUUGGAAGCUUCUAUCCAGCAGUCCUUUAACUUAGCGUUUAGUGCCCAACACAGCAUGGGUUCUGGUCUAAAGGCACAGACAGGUUUUGGUAUGUUUCUCUGCAGGUCACUCCUUUCACCCAUGUGUUCCAGAGAUGGGUCAGGCUAGACCAUGUGGUCCUGAGUCUUAGUGAGAAAGAAGACAAGCUAGUUCUUUAUAGGAAAAUGUGGGUAUUCUGAUGAGAAGAUGAUUGCAAAGCAAUAAAUACCCAACCUGGAUUGGCAAUACAAGAUGUGUGGAAAUGUGUUUUUGGAUGUGAAUACGUUGGAGCUUUGUCUAGAUGGAUUCACCUGGUGUUUUGCUUGAUGCGUGAAGAUGUGCCUCUGAUCACGUACCACGUGUAGCAUCCGUCUUGGUCCAGUUUAAUACACGUGGCCUUGAGUUCUUCUUUGUUUGAUUUUAAAAUAGCCACCUUUAUUUUCUUUUUGUUUGCCUUUCCUUGGUGUGUCAUUUUUAAACCUUUUUUUUUUUUUGUCACUUCCUUUUGGAGAGGUCUCAUGUUUAUUUUAAAUGGAGUUGGGCCUUUUUUCUUUCUUUUGUAAACUCAGUGUGACAGUUUUGUCCUUCAGUUGGGAAAUUCUACUUGUCCAUGUUGACUGAUAAUGAAUAAAUUUUGCUUUAUUGUUUUCAGUUUACUCCUUGGUCACCACAUAUUUUGUUUUCCUCAAUUCCCAUGUUGACUAGAAAAUGCCUUUGCUAAUUUGAAAGGAUGUGCAGUUAGUUGUUGGAGCUGGUGGAGUGGAUCAAGCAGUAGAGUACCUGCUUAGAAAGCAGGAGUCCCUGAGUUCAAACCCCAAUACCACCAAAAAGAAAAAAAAAGAUGCACAGUCAUCUACCCAAUCUCUUCUGGUUUUUGCCGUUCCUACAAUUCUUCCAAGCAACCUUUUCACUUACGAAUUCCAGGUUCCCAGUAGGUAUCUUUGAUGCUCACGUUUCCUGUCCUUAAUCCUCCGGGCCAUUAGAUCUAGAGCAAUUCUAAAUUUUUACAAUGACUUUUUUAGUUUCAGAAAGUGUUUGUGCUUCUUCAUUUGUGCCUCCACAUAUGUUCUCACUACUUUUCCUUUCAAGUUCUCUCUGUUAGAUUAAUUCUUGCUCAGUUGGUGGAGCCUGUGGCAGUUCAGCUUGGUUACCUUCCCUCUAGGCUCUUGCUUGUCCUCAGUGGGUCCUGUCUACGGCCCUCAUCAAAUUGUGGAAGUCAUGGGCUCUAGCAGGUGGUAGAUGACAAGUCCGGAAACAGGUACCUGCUGCUCGAUUGCUUUGUUCCCAGUGUUGUUGACCAUGAGACUUGAACAGUUUUACCUUUCACUGAAGACACUCUCUUUGGAUUCAUGACCAGGGUCCAAAGCCACUUUCCCUUCACAUAACUCCACUUCACUGACCCUGAAGAACUAUGGCUGCCCUCUUUUUGGAGAUAUUGGUGACACUUGGGCUCAGAAGGCCCCCUGAGGGCUCUUUAGAUUGUGGUCCUUGUUACUCCAGAGAGAGAACUUGGAAGGAGGCAACAGGAUCAAGUCCUUCCUCAGACCAUCAUCUUCCCUGUUGGAAUGGAGACAGAAAAAAGGUAUACAUACCUACACCUGCCUUUGGAAGCAGCGCUGAAAGUGAUGUGCCAUCCAUGGGGUAGAAUUGCCCUUAAUUGAAGCGUAGGACAAUUGAGUAUAAAGGCAGCAUUAUACAGCCUGUUUCUCUUACAGAAAGAACUCUAUUUUUACCCUUAUUUUCAGCACUGCCCCUCAUCACUCAGUAUAGAGAAUAAUACAUUGUAUCAGUGGAAUAAUCUUUGUUAAUAGCAUCCAUUAUAUGCUUGUAGGUGUGUACACACACGGGAAAGGUGGUAUUUCCUCACUUCACAGCUGGAAAACGUGGGGCAGAAUGCUAACCAGCUUGGCCCAAAUUGAAGGGUGUUAUCAUCGGCACAGCAGUGCAGGUGCUUGUGCCUUAGUUUCAUGGUCUAUUUAUAUAAAGUGGUGCUGGGAUGCCCUAGAAAGGGCUGCAGCAUUAGGUGAAGCCCAUGUAUGCUUAUAUCUUUGGAAUUAUUUGUGUAUUUUCCCACUUUUCAGUAUCUCGGGAUAUAAAUGCCAAAGACCUCUGACUUUGUCUGUUGAGUUAAGUCCCUUUCCCUGCAUCACAGGAGAACACCCCCACCAUGUCUGUUUGAUGAACAUGUGUAUUAUUGCAGCAAGGUACUGUAGAAAUAGCUUCAUGUCCUUGCAAAAUUGCCAACACAAGUAGGGACCUGGAAAUUGUUGCUAUGCAUAUAUGUCAGAAGAUUUAUUAACCAUUUCUGUGCUAAAUAAAAGAAGACUUUUGUUUUUCGUUUUGUAGGAAUCUGGGGCAAUAUGUUAGAUACAGUUGAAUAUUUUAAGACAUUCUUCAUUCACUGAGUACAUAUUUUGUUCAAGUCUAAAAGUUACAAGUGCCUGCAAUCUGCUAUUGAAAGUUGUCUGCACUGGUUGCCUGAGGUUCAACCACAAUUUGUCUUGCUGUUUCUUAACCUUGCUAGGUUUUGAAUUCCUCUGACAGCCCAGCUGCCUGUCCCAGGCCACUCUGAGACUUACUUUUUAUCCAGGAUGAUCAGUAUUUGUUUGCAGGCAACAAGUUGCAAGACCACUGCCUUUGCCGCCACAUUUUGCUUGGUUAUUGCACAGGUGCGCCAUCAUCUUUCUCUUUUUUUAAUGAAGCAUUAAGGUCCGUUUACAUAGUAAUAAAUAAAGUAAUUACUGUAGUGGUGGCAUUCUGCCUAAGCCAUCUUGAAAACUGAAUGCAAAAUCUUUUUAAUAGCCCCAUAAUGGUCUCUUGAAGUGUUACAGAUUUUUAUAACGAUAGCUGUAAUACAAGUGCCAUUAUUUAUUGUGAGACUUGAACAUUUUGACCAUUUACACGGUACUCGUGCAUCUCCAGCUGAGCUGAGCGCACACUGCUAUGUGUAUCACGGACGUGUGUGCACGCUGGCUUCUGCAGCAGAGUGCCUGCUAGGGGUGACCUCAGGAAGGAGAGGGAGGCCCACUUGUAAUGAUCAGAUUGUGUCUGGUCCAGCUCUUGGUUUCCACAUAGAAUGUUUUAGAAAAUCUUCCUUCUUGGCAAAAAUGGAGAUUCCAUUUUGGGAAUUUCCAAGUCACUGCCCAGUUUGUGGGCAUUAUGAAAAGAGGCAUAUUUCUUGUGUUUUCUGAUUAUCCAUUCUUUGAAACAGAACAAAUAGAGAACACUACAGUGAUAAAAAGGGGAAGGGAAAUGUCACUCAGCUCUUCUUGGGCAGUGCCAUUUGCUGUUGUCUAAUUCAUUAGUGCAUUUUAAAAUGACAUAUAUUCUGAACAACCUCUUCUUGCCAAAUGUUAAUUAACCAGAGAUGAGUGUAGCACAGAUUUGUGUGGAUCCUUACCCUCUUGGUGGAGUCUGGGCUUCGACAUGUCUGGCCUCUGUGCCAGGGGUCUGGUGAGGAGUCCUGUGGUGGAAACUCUGCAGCACUGUGUCUCAGGCAAGCCUGGCUCUCAGCUCCAGAAUGUUCUGUGAGGAGUCUGCAAGGGCAUAGUAGAGCACUUGGGUGUGUGCACAUUGAUUAUUGGCUGGUGUUGGCUUUGAUAGCUUGCUUCUUGUCUUGAUGACUUGUUUCAUGAAGACAUGAAACAAGCUGACAGUGGUAAUUGCUGACCAUCACUGCUUAACUCUUGAGGUUUUGCCGGAUUUUACAUGAGUUUCAGGGAUUGAUGGAGAGAGAGAAAGGGAGGAGAGGAGAAAGGGAGGGAGGCAGGGAUAUGCAGAAUCACACUGAAAACAAAGCACUAGAAAAUAGUAGGGAGGGAGGGAGGAUAGAUGUGGAGGGCAUAGCAUUCAGAGAGGUUGAGAAAUAACUUAUGUGUCAGUUCACAGAGAACAGAACCAAGGGUCAAACCCUUAUGAUUUGUCCUCAUAGUUUGUCUAAAACUGGCUAUUGGUGGAGCCUGCCAAAGCCACAGAGACAAUAAGGACUGCUUCCAUGCUGCUCCAGGAUAGGAAAGGUCAUGUGAGAACGUGUUCUGCCGUGGGAACCUGCUGAGGUCGAGGCAGACCCUCCAGUCACAUUUCCACCGAGUAGCCCAGUGGCCUUACACCUAUGCUUGAGCCUCUGUCCCUGCCAGUAAAGCCUUUCUUUCCUUCUCAGGUUGCAUUCAGUCUCUAACUCUCCCAUGAUACACUAGUAUCGGUUGAUACACUCACUCAGCAGAUAUUUAUCGGCUACUUGUCAGGUGCCAAUCACUGUGCUUGUAUUGUAUUUGGCUUAUGAAGUUCACAGCCUAGUGAGAGAUACAGGCAGAACUUAUGUCUUAAUUACACACCUGCCUUCUAUUGCUCUUUACCUGUUUUUCCCACCAGUCUCGCCCUCCUAGCAUUUAUGUCCUGUUGGGAGGCAUGUAUGUAUAUCUAUUAAUAUAUACUCUAUGUGUAGAGAUUGCAGUGUGCACUUCUCUGUCUCUUAGGAUGGUGCAAUUUACUUGGUCAAUCAGUAAUUCCUGAUGUGCAGAGUGAGUGUGAUAGCUUGACUGUGUCACCAAAAGUGCAAAUGUGUUGGAAACUUAAUUCCCACACUUAAAUUUUGGUGGUACUUGGAGAUGGGACUUUUGUGAGGUAAUCAAGAUUAGAUAAGGUCAUGAGAGUGGGGUCCUAUGAUGGCAUUAGUGGCUUUUUCAGAGCAGGGAGAGAAUCCCCAGCUAGGAUGCUUUCUCUGUUUCACCAUGUGAUUCCUUCUACUAUGCUGAGAUACAGCAAGAAAGCUCUUAUCAGAGCUGGUGAUAUGUUCUUGGAUUUCCCAGCCUCCAGAACUGUGAGUCAAAUAAACUUUUAUUCUUUGUAAAUUAUCCGGUCUGUGAUACUCAGUUACAGCAGCAGAAAACAGACUAAGACAGUGGCCAUUGUAUUUACAUAAAAAAAAAAAACAGUGGAAGAAUAUAUAAGAAACUAAUAAAAGUUGUUGUCUUUUACACAUAGUCUUUUUUGAUAUCAUCUUGACUUUUGAGCCUUGAGAGUCCAUUGUUUAUUUCAAAAUAAUUUUUAAAUGGUGAAAAAAAAAUACAACUCAAAAAUGUGUGCAUUCCAAAGGUUAGUUUUUCUGUAUGGAAAUCACAUGCAAUCAAAUUUGUUAACCAAAUUUUAAAAACAAAACUGUGAGAGAAAAUGAAAAUCAGUGCAUUGUGUAUAAAUGCAGCCAUGAUAAGCUUUUCCUAUUUAGUAUUGACAUUGACUGUAGAGUUCAUCUGACAUAGUCUAGCUGCAGUAAAAAAAAUUUUCCAGCCCAACUUUGUUUCUCUCUGUUUAGGCCCUUUCACUUUCUCUUUAAUUAAUUUUUGGUGUUCUUCAGGAUAAGAAGGGGGUCACAGGUAAUCUGAGAUCCUUUGUUUGUUUAAUUUUAGCAACAGUAGAAAUUGUUACAAUCAACAUGGCUGGGACUCUUACCCACCCCCUCUACCCCCUUUUUUAUUUUUUAGAACAAAGAAUUGUGUCUGUCAUCCUGGCACUGAACUGCUGAUACCCUUUCCCACCUCCCCUGGCAUCUGUCCUUCUUUGUGAGGCCUGCAUCCUCGGGACCCCAGGGUUUUGAGGCCCUUGAGAAACUUCUGAAUCUCAAUCUAUCUCAUCCAAACUGUAAUCCUAAACUCUGGUACAUAUUUACAUGUUAUAGCUAGGUUAAGUGGCUUUAACACAUUUUGUGCCUUCUUUUUGAAUGAUUGGGCUGGAAAAUCCCUUACAGAUGGGAGACUCCUCAUUAAAUAAGGCUUGCUUCUUUCUGCCAUAUUUCCAGGGUGGCAGACUGUCCAGAGGUCACUGCAAGUGCCCUCCACAUCUAACAGAGACUUGCACCUCUUACCCCAUGAGCACGUUUGACUUUCGGUGGCAGUGUGUUUCUUUCACAUCCUGGGUGCCUGGAACUAGACCUGUGCCUUUGUGUGUGCGCCAGGUAGGGGUGUAUGGUUUAGUUUCUUGAUGCUUCUGGAGAAAGCAAAUGCUAUUGAUGAGAACACUUGAUGCAGUGCAUCUGAUUUGUUCUCCUGGCGGCUGUAUUAGCAAUAACUAGACACUCUGCUUGCAUAUUUCAUACCCCUUCUUCUUCAGCCCACACCUCUUCACCACAGGAUUAGCUUUUUCAUUAUUUAGGAGAGCUUUUAACUACUUAAGGCUUUUGUGUCUUUACUGGGAUAUAACUUUCCUUCUUUUUAACAAGCAAAAAAUCAUCUAAAAUGUUGUAAUUUGUACUGAAAUUGGAGAAUAUUCACAAAUGAGCCUGAGAAGAUUUUUUGGGGGUGUGUGUGGUCAUAUUCCUUGUUUGCUUUUUUGCUAUUCUGCCUUUAUUGCUAGACAAGAAAAAGUGGAACUUUAAGAUAAAUUAUUCACGUACUGAAAACCUCUCACCAUAACACACAUUCAGUGUUGGAGUAGUGUUUUCAGCAGAGAAAUUACCUAUGAAUGCUCAAGAACGCUGGAGACUUUUACCAAAUAAAAAGACAAGAUCUCAUUAUAAGAAGUCCUUUGGCACAGGGAAUGAGGAUGCUUUAGAAAUAUUGUGAAACCAUUUCAGGGAUAAUAGACUAAUAGGAAUUACUAAGCUAAUUCAAACAAUUUCUAGUGUAUUUCUUUCUAAGACAAGAAGUGUUUGGUUGAUAAUUCCUUACACUGGGUGCCUGAGUUCCAGACCAUUGUGAUUCUGUUGUAAACAGAUAUGUGAGGUAGACGAUUUGCUUUAAAACCUUUUAAAAAUUAGAAUAACAAGCCAGGUGCUGGUAACUCACGCCUGUAAUCCUAGCUACCUGGGAGGCAGAGAUCAGG